rnacentral:rRNA from 1 species
UACGGAGGGUGCAAGCGUUAUCCGGAUUCACUGGGUUUAAAGGGUGCGUAGAUGGGCAGGUAAGUCAGUGGUGAAAUCUCCGGGCUUAACCCGGAAACUGCCAUUGAUACUAUCUGUCUUGAAUACCGUGGAGGUGAGCGGAAUAUGUCAUGUAGCGGUGAAAUGCUUAGAUAUGACAUAGAACACCAAUUGCGAAGGCAGCUCACUACGCGAAUAUUGACACUGAGGCACGAAAGCGUGGGGAUCAAACAGG